GAACAUCCUGCAUAGUGCUGCCAGGAAAUCCCUAUUUUAUACUAAGGGGGCUGGCUGGUUGCAUAUGUAGGAUGUCCC
rnacentral:pre_miRNA from 1 species